GUUAUCUUCAUCUGAAGAGCUGUAAUCAGGGUUGAGCAGUUGUCGUCCUGCUCUGACACUUCCUCCUCGCUGUGUGAUAAAAGGUGUAUUUCAGUAUCUAUAAGUGAAGAUGGCAACCCCAGUAAUCCGCAUCGUCAACCCAGAGGCCCCUGCACACCGUCAACAGGCCGUACUGAUGGCGACUAAAGAGGCCCGUUGUUAUCUUCCAGGACAGCGCCCUGACACACGCAGAGAAGCUCCUUCGAGCAGAGGGCAUCCCUGCAUCGUCGCGUCAGCUGUGCCUGGGAAAGCUGCUAGUCCCUUUUGGCCAGUAUGACAAUGCACCCUUCCACUGGCUUGUCACAAAUGAUGUGGCAUACAUGAAGUAGUAAGCAUAUUAUAUUCAAUACCAUUGUUGGCUGUGCAUUUUUUUGAUUGCAUGUUUAAAAUAAAUAUCUGUUUACACAAAACUA